rnacentral:rRNA from 1 species
GAGUAACGCGGGGGAAACCUGCCUGUAAGUUGGGGAUAUCUCCGGGUAACCGGGGCUAACACCGAAUGAUCAAUUUUGGCGCAUGCCACGCUUUUGAAAGAUGGUUUCGGCUAUCUCUAACAGAUGGGCCCGCGGUGCAUUAUCUAGUUGGUAGGGUAAUGGCUGACCAAGGCAACGAUGCAUAGCCGACCUGAGAGGGUGAUUUGCCACACUGGGUCUGAGACACGGCCCAGACUCCUUCUGGCGGCAACAGUAGGGAAUCUUCCGCAAUGGACGAAAGACUGUCGGAGCAACGCCGCGUGUAUGAAGAAGGUUUUCGGAUCGUAAAGAACUGUUGU